rnacentral:rRNA from 1 species
CAAUAGCGUAUACUAAUGUUGUUGCAGUUAAAAGCUCGUAGUUGGAUUUCUGGGAUUUUCAGCCGGCCGGCUCUUAGGAGUUGUAGCUAGGUUUGCAAGUCUCAUCUUCUCACAAUUCUCACUGGCCUUAACUGUUCGGUGCAGAGGACUGAGUCGUUUACUUUGAGAAAAUUAGAGUGUUCAAAGCAGGCUAUCGCCUUGAAUAUAUUAGCAUGGAAUAAUGGAAUAGGACUUUGGUUCUAUUUUGUUGGUUUCUAGGACCGAAGUAAUGAUUAAUAGGGACAGUUGGGGGCAUUAGUAUUUAAUUGUCAGAGGUGAAAUUCUUGGAUUUAUGAAAGACUAAUUACUGCGAAAGCAUUUGCCAAGGAUGUUUUCAUUAAUCAAGAACGAAAGUUAGGGGAUCGAAGACGAUUAGAUACCGU